UUGGCCAGAACAGGAAAAACUGUCUAUACAUCCAGAACUCUGGUGAUAUCCUUCAGUGAAAACUGCACCUGUCAGACAGAAUGCCAUAAUUAAAUGAUACAUGAAUGACCCUGAAGCAAUAAAAUCAGCAUAUCAAGGACUUUUAUCACCUGGAAGAAGUGGUUAUUUCUUUGGAUUUACCCUGGUCCACAUCCUGCACAAUGAAGCUCUUGGUUGCUCUUCUACUGCUGCUAGGUUGUCGGACCUCAAUAAUCCUCGACGGCCAGGAUACCACAGCCGGGCUGAAUAUCGGAAAUGACAUAACUAUUGAGACCACAGCUGUUCCACCUGCUUCAUUCAGCACAGUGAUCAGAAU